rnacentral:tRNA from 1 species
UAAAUGAAAGCCAAAGUAGAGGCAUCUAUCUGUUAAUUAGAAGACUGUAAUAGAAUACUCAUUUAA